GACGUAGGGGGCGAGCGUUGUUCGGAAUUACUGGGCGUAAAGCGUGCGUAGGCGGACUUAUAAGUUAAGGUUGAAAUAUCCGGGCUCAACUCGGGGCACGGCCUUGAUACUGCAAGUCUUGAGUCAAGUAGAGGGUAAUGGAAUUCCCGGUGUAGCGGUGAAAUGCGUAGAGAUCAGGAAGAACACCGGUGGCGAAAGCGCUCUACUAGGCCGCAACUGACACUGAGGGACGAAAGCUAGGGGAGCGAAUGGG
rnacentral:rRNA from 1 species